CUGCCAUGUGAAGGAGGAUGUGCUUGCUCCCCCUUCCACCAUGAUUGCAAGUUUCCUGAGGUCUCCCCAGUCAUGCUGAGCUUUGCAUCUUUUCAACAAAGUUGACUCUCUCCCUACAAAGGAAAGUUUGUAUCAGCUACUGAGAAGACUUGGACUGGAACUUACUUCACCAGAUCUCAUGGUUCUUGGGCCUUCAGACUCAGGUUGGAACUAUGCUAUCAGCUUUCCUGGAUCUCCAGCUUGCUGACUACACAAUCUAGGAC
rnacentral:lncRNA from 1 species